UAUUGGACAAUGGGCGAAAGCCUGAUCCAGCAAUGCCGCGUGAGUGAUGAAGGCCUUAGGGUUGUAAAGCUCUUUUACCCGGGAUGAUAAUGACAGUACCGGGAGAAUAAGCUCCGGCUAACUCCGUGCCAGCAGCCGCGGUAAUACGGAGGGAGCUAGCGUUGUUCGGAAUUACUGGGCGUAAAGCGCACGUAGGCGGCUUUGUAAGUUAGAGGUGAAAGCCUGGAGCUCAACUCCAGAAUUGCCUUUGAUACUGCAUCGCUUGAAUCCAGGAGAGGUGAGUGGAAUUCCGAGUGUAGAGGUGAAAUUCGUAGAUAUUCGGAAGAACACCAGUGGCGAAGGCGGCUCACUGGACUGGUAUUGACGCUGAGGCGCGAAG
rnacentral:rRNA from 1 species